AGCUAUUACUAACUUCUUAAUUUGAUUUUUUAUGGAUGUGAAAAAUGCUGCUACUUGUCUGUAAGUAUAUUACAAUUUAAUUAAGUGGUGUUUGUUCUUUUGGAUUGAAAUUUAUGCCCACAGAUUUUUUUUUCAUUUGAAAAUGAAUGUGAAGAUACUGUUUACAGCUUUUGUUAAUUGCACUUUUCAUCACUCUGAUCAAUCUCUUGUAAAGUGCUAUGGGGAUUAUUUUUCCUGUGAAUACUAAUGAUCUUACUACUGCCUCAGAAGUUUUAAUAAAGGUCUGUGGACAGAAAACAGUUGUUGCAACAACAACAAACAAAAACAACACAUAAAGGGGAAAUCUUUAGCUUACCUUUCUCAGCUGAAUUAAAUGAUUUUAAUAACUUCCCAGUUACCAAGGUUAUAACAUUGCUUUCUUCAGUUAUUAACACACUCUUAAAUUGUUAGGCACAAUUCAUUUACAAAUUGAGUACAGUAGUCUGGGGCUACUUGUAAGUGCUCUCUUUAUUUUAUUCUUUACAUCAGAAAAAUCAUGAAUGUCAGUUUUGCCAGUAUUUUACAAUGAGGCUCAUAGUUUAAAUUAAAAUUUCAUAGUGUAUGAGAUGUAAAUAAAUGAGUAUUAACUUAUUGUAGGUUGUUUUGACUCAGGCAUUUAAAAUGGAUAUAGGUUAAUGGCAAUGGAAUCCUAUUUAUUUUGUAGUUUGGGUUUUUUUAUACUUUUGGUAUUUGUUUUGUGUUGCCUUCAAUUUCUGUUUACUUCAACUGAAGACAAUGUAUAGAGUUGAAAAACAGACUCAACAUAUCAAUGGAAAGCAAUGCAGAGAGGGUAAAUCAUGUUUUAAUUUAAAUUUUUUUUUUUGUAAAUAAACAGUACCGUGGUAUUUCAGGUGUGACCUCUGCUCAACAUGAUAGUUAGAACCAGAAAAACAUUUUGCUUUCUAGUUAUACUGUUGGUUCAUUGGAAAUGCAUUACCAAAAGACAAUAGGAAAAAAGAGCAAGAUUAAGUUUUUCUAACAUUGUCCACUUCAGGGGCAAGCAUGCGUGGUGUAGAGCUCUAGCUUGUGUAUACCUUAAACUGUACAUGCAGGUGUUUUUCAGUUGCUGCACUUUUUUUAAAAAAAAUCUUGCUCAGUCCCAGUAACUAUCUCACAGGUAAUUACUGGAAUAUGCAUUUUGAAAUACAGUUUUAAAAAAAAAAAUCUGUGUAUUGUUUCAUCUUAAAAAAAGCACUACUGCAAACACGAAAAAUGUGUUAAACUUUGUAGUUAUUUUGCAUUCCUGUACUUUACAAACUGUCAUCACAGCAAAAGGUUUAAAAUUAGGUAAUGAAAUAUUUUUGUAAAUAAAUACCAUUAAGCUGGUAUUUUAAAAAAUGUAUUAUAAAUUAAUGUUUCUGGAAAAUGUUCAUAUAUAUGUAUAUGAAUGUCUCUUUAUGCUGAAGGGCUCUGAUUGGGCAAAAUAAAAUACUCUCUCCUGAAA